UAACACUUUUUCAUUCAUAAAAAUAUAAAAAAUUGCAGAAUAGAAAAUAACGUUUGUUUUGUUAGAGGUUUACAGAUGUUUGACCCAGGCAGAUAGCUGCAAGAACAAAGGAUUCUAACAAGAAGGAAUUCCUACACCAAGAAAAUUGCAACAACCAAGCACGUAGGAAAAGAGCCUGAAUUCUAACUUGGGGAGAUGGUUUUCCAGGACAUAAGUUUGCCAUCUAGGUCUACAGAAACUUGCUUUUCCAUACCCCAACAACUGGUGUCCCAACUUAUUGGCCUGUCCUGCACUGAAGAGAAUGAAUUUGGACUUGGUAACACUCCUAUCUACCUAGCAAGCUGGGCACUGGAACUGAGUGUUAUGGAAACAACAGGCCAGCCAAGGAACAAUCACCUCUCGGAGUGUUGGAGUACUCAGAUUUAUUAUGCCGGUGGGCUCAGAGGGGCUUCUGCUCCGAAGUUCUGAGCACCUCCAAGAUGUGAACAUGAGGUUUUAAAGGGUUAAUUACAAUUAAUUGUGUAUUAGCCAAUAAGGUUCAAACAACAAAAAGCAAGGAAUCAGCACACUGGAGCUUAUCAACUUGUAAUAGACAAUUGUUGAGCUUGGAUUUACGAGUUAGCUUGUUAGCCCAGUAAACUGACACUAAACUUCAGAUUUAAGAGUUAGCCCAGCAGAAUUUAGAUCAGUAAACCGACACUUAUCACACUUAGAUUUGUGACUUAGCUUGUUAGCCCAGCUGGGCUUUUCCUUCACGUGAGGACAGCUCUCCCACACCCAGGGAGCUACUGUAAGCCCUUGAUGGUUCCACUAGGGUGGGGUGUGGUUUACCCAGGAGGGAUGGGGUCUAUGCACCAACACUCAGGCAGUCUGCUCUGUCUGGGGCUCUGAUCUUGUACCACCCCGCUCCCUGCCAGCCCAACACCUGGGACAGUGGGGCUAAGGCAGAGAUCGUGCCUGCCUGUUUCCCAGCAUGUAAAAGGGGAAUAUGUACUCUUCCCAAGGUAGUUCUGAGCGACAACACCUGCGGGUGCUUGGUUCCCAGAGCAACAGAAAACCCAGCUCCGCAUGGGGGCAACGGGUGUGAUACCCGUAGUGUUUCUUCAGAAGCAUCAGAUGGAGGGCUGGAUCAGGGAGGUAAAACUUGAGCUGCGGGCCUUGAAGGGUUACAGAAGGGUACAGAGGCAGGACUGCUGCCUCCUUCAAGGUGCCCCCAGAUGUAAAGCUUUUUCUCUCCAUCCCCGCUAGGACCUUCUCAUUUCCAGAUCCCUCCCUUCUCUCUGCUCUUCCUGUCCAUCUGUCCCCCUCCACUUUUUCCCUCCUCUCCUCCCCCUCCCAUCUUUUCCCUCCCUCACUGCCCCACCUUCUCUCGCAGAACCCAGAGUGGAUUGCUGGCCCUCCUGCGCAUGGGCAGUCAGUGUCAGCUGGACCGAGGGUUGGAAUCUCCAGCUCCGAGCAGGGGAUUAGCCCCAAAGGCUUCUCAGCUCUGUCGCCAGCCAGGCCUUUAGCUCCUGCCCGGGGCCGGUGCCUCUGGCUGUGGAAGUGCAGUGUGGGGUCUCCCGGGAAAUGGAUCAGGCGGCUGCGGGAGGGCGGUCCGCAUGUCACAGACCACGAAGGCGCGAGUCAGCCUGUGUUCAGCUGAAUUCCUUUGACCAGGCCUCUCUGACCGCGCCACCUGCCCCGGAGCCCCGGCCACAGCUGCCCAGGGCCAGGUGUGCACCUGCCGCCUCUCUCCCCAGCUGGGCUCCCCUCAGUCUGUGGCUGGCGUCCCCUUCCCCUCUCCCGCCCGCGAUUCCUCUCCUCCCGGGCUUCCUCUCCUUGGCUGCCGGCCCGUCCCCACAACUGGGCGGGAUGCAUCCCUGGUGGGCGGGGUCUGCGGACCCUUACAGGGCAGCUGGGGCUGGGGCUGGGGAUGGCCUCUGAGCGGGGCUGCAGCCCGCGACUCCGGGUCUGCCCUGGUCUUCCUUUCCCGCUCCCUGAGGAACAUCUCAGUGGCGUCUGCGCUGCUCCCUGGGCUGAGAGUCUCCGGCUGUAAAGCCCAGCUUCUGGUGGAGUCGGGAAAAGGGAUCCUCAGUGCCAAGCGAGCUUCUGUCUCCUCCCUCAGUGUUUCUGCCUCAGGGUGAAACGUAUGACCAUCGAUUUUAAAAAGACAGUUACAUUCCCUAACUAGCCCAGCCCAGCUUGGGUGUGUUAACAGGAACAGCACCACCAGAGGCGUUGGAGACCCAGGGACAUUCCAGUCCUAAAGAGCUCCUGGCACAGUUUGAACGUUUUCAUCACAUCAGAAAGACCAGUGGAAAUGAAUGACCUAUCCACCCCUCCCCAGUGGUGGUUCUAAAGAAGUUUCUUAGGUCAUAUGGGCCUCUGUCCCAGGACUGACUGCAGCCUUUUCUUCCCUGGUCAACAUUUCCUGUGCCUUUCAGAAGUUGGUCUCUUCUCUGCAAUUGAACCCUGGCAGAUGUGAUGGUGGUCAGCGUGCUGGGGGGCAGUCACUUGGGGCUCCCAGGAAACAUGCUGAUUCUCCUGAGUCUCUCAUUCGGGGUUACAGAACUGUCGUGCACCGGAGGAAGCCCAUUCAGUACGUUUUGGUUACUGAGACCCUCGAAUUCCCAUAUGAAUUGUAGUAGCAGCUUUUUGCAGAUGUGCCUGCUGGGAUUGUAAUCGAAACCACGAUGUAUGUAUGGAUCGCUCUGGGGAGCACUGCCAUUCCAAGAGCGCUGUCUUCUGAUCCAGGAAUGUGCGCGGUGUGUCUGUCCAGGUGAUACUGCUAUGGUUGCUGCCUGUGCCCUACCCCCAGCCUUGGUUUUGGAGUUGAGUGCCCUCACCUCCAGUGGCAUCCAUCCAGACACCAGCACUGACACUGGCCGUGCUCAGAACUGCCUCAGCCCUGAAGGCACAACUGACAAAUAGAAGGGGGCCACGCCCUGUUACAGCAGGUGCUCUCAAUUUGUGGGUCCUUAUGUAACUGCAUGUUGUUAUUCAGGAUCGCCCGUUCUACAUUGUGUGGCGCUGCUGCAGUGUCUCCUAGUUAUUUGUUUCUGAUCUGAGAAGCAGGAGCAAGGAACUCAGAGAGAGAUCCAGGAAGACAUCUGACUCUGUUAAGAGACGACAGUCACAGCGACACGGGGAGUGAAGAAACUUGCAGCAAAGUAAAAUGACUUCAGAAAAAUUGCAUCAGAGCUGCAGGUGUGAGAGAGCCUAAGCCUGUCUCAGAGUGCAGGGGACAAGUGGAAAGGAAUGUGUAAGAAUGCCGGUGACUCAGAAGCAUGCUUCGAAGCUGCCCGUGUCCUUGCCAUCCAGAAGCGGAGCCUGGGAGCUUCCGAAUUUCUCCAGAAUGCGGUUUACAUUCACCUUGACAGAUACCCAGCUUUCCCUGCACCAUUCAUUGAAUAGACUAUUCUUUCAAUGGAGUGUUGUUGGCGCCCUUGUUGAAAACUGACUGUAAAUCGUUCCUAGGAGAGAAUUCAGCAGUGCAGCAUCCUCUCCGAGCUCUAUGAGUUGAUUGGCUUCCACUGCAAGUCCGUCUUCUUCAAGUGGGUGGCCCCCGUGCAGCGUGCGGCCCCCGGCAUCCCGGAGCCUGGCGGGAAGGCCUGCUACCGACUCCUUCUGCAGACGCUUCCUGGCUGCAGUCUGUCACUGAUUCUGCAGGACUUCAACAAAGGUUUUGGAACUAAAACAUUGCUUCAGUCCGAUUAACCAUGCCUUGUUUGGGCCCUGCUCUCCUGUCUCAUCAGGGUGAAUUGUGAUUCGUGUAGAACAGGACACAGCAGACUUUUUUCUGUCAAGGGCUUGGGAGUCAAUAUUUCAGGAUCUGCAAACCUCCUGAUCUCUGGUGCAGCUGCUCAGCUCUGCUGUUCAGACGCCAGAGCAGCCGGACAGUCCACACACCCACAGAGCUUUAUUCACAGCAGUGGCUGGGGCUGGAUUGGGUGUAUGAACUGCAGUUUGUCCCCACAGCCUGCUCACUAUUGACGCCUGCACCUGAGCGUGCAUUUGUGACAAUGGGUGAACCUACACUGACACGUCAUCAUCACCAAGAGCCCAUACUUGACACUAGGAUUUACACUUGGUGGUGUGCACUCUGUGGGUUUGGACAGAUGUACAAUGACACGUUUCUACCAUCACAGCAUCAUACAGAGUAGUCUGUCUUAGUGACCCUAAAAAUGCUCCGUGCUGCACUUCAUUCAUUACUCCUUCCCCUCUAGCCUCUGACAGCAACUGAUCUUUUAGUCUGUGUGGUUUUGCCUUUCCCAGAACACCAUACAGUUGGAAUCAGACAGUUGCAGAACCUUCCCAGAUUGGCUUCUUUCACUUAGUAAUAUGCAUUUAAGGUUCCUCCAUGUCUUUCCAUGCCUUGAUAACUCAUUUCAUUUUAACACCAUAAAUAGUCCAUUUUCUGCUUGGACCACAGUUUAUUUAUCCGUUCACCUACUGAAGAACAGCUUAGUUGUUUCUGAGUUCUGGUGAUUAUGAAUAAAGCUGCUAUUAACAUCUGUAUGCAGAUUUGUGUGUGGACGUAAGUUUCCAUUUUGUUCAGUAAACACCAAGGAGCACAGUUGCCAGAUCAUAUGGUAGGAGUACGUUUAGUUUUGUAAAAAAUUGCCAGACCGUCUUCCAAAGUAUCUGGGCCAUUUUUCAUUCCCACCAGCAAUGCAAGAGAAUUCCUGUCACUUCACAUCCUCACCAGCAUUUGGUGCUGUCAGUGUUCUGAGUUUUGGCAGUUCUGACAGGUGUGCAGUGAUACCUCGCUGUUUCAGUCUGCAGCCCCUUGAUGACAGAUGCUGUGGAGCAUGUUUCCAUAGAUUUCUUUGGCAUCUAGUUUCCUUCUAUGUUGAGGUGUGUGUUGAGGCAUUUUGCUCAUUUUUUAAGCAGGUUAUUCAUUCUUCUUGUUGAGUUUAAAGAGAUUUUGGUGUAUUCUGGAUAUCAGCCCUUUAUCAGUGUGUCCCUGCCCUUCACCUGCAGCACCGGAGUUGUCCUUUGGGUCUCAGUGGAGUGUCAGCUCUUCAAAGAGGUUCCCUGUCUUCCCUCAGCCUAAAUACUGUCCUUGAAUUUUUCACUUUCAUUGACUCACUUUGUUCUUUUUAAAUAGAAUUUCCCGUAAUUUGUAAGUACAUUAAAAAAAAGGCAAUGAUUGAACACUGCCUCCCCCACCAGGCUGUGUGCCCUGUGAGAGCAGAGACCCUGUCCCCACUCACCAUGUCCCAUGACAGCACAUGUCACAUGUCCAUGUAAAUGUGUGUAACGUGGGGCCAAAACUGAUGAGCAGCUAUGACGACAUGUGUUGGCUACCAUUCAUUGAAUAGAGUUUGUUUCUUGAUCUUAAUUUUAAAUCACAUGAAUGAAACAUGUUUCUUUUGAAAAAUAAAACAACAAAGCACACCUC